CCUACGUGAGGCAGCAGUGAGGAAUAUUGGUCAAUGGACGAAAGUCUGAACCAGCCAAGUCGCGUGAAGGAUGACUGCCCUAUGGGUUGUAAACUCCUUUUAUAUGGGAAUAAAAUGUUCCUCGUGUGUGUUUUUGUUUGUACCCUAUGAAUCAGCAUCGGCUAACUACGUGCCAGCAGCCGCGGUACUACGGAGGAUCCGAGCGUUAUCCGGAUUUAUUGGGUUUAAAGGGAGCGUAGGUGGAUUGUGAAGGCAGUUGUGAAAGUUGGCGGCUCAACCGUAAAAUUGCAGUUGAAACUGGCAGGCUGGAGUACAGUAGAGGUGGGCGGAAUUCAUGGUGUAGCGGUGAAAUGCGUAGAUAUCACGAAGAACUCCGAUUGCGAAGGCAGCUCACUGGACUGCAACUGACACUGAGGCUCGAAAGUGUGGGUAUCAAACAGGAUUAGAUACCCUUGUAGUC
rnacentral:rRNA from 1 species